rnacentral:rRNA from 1 species
UACAGAGGUGGCGAGCGUUGUUCGGAUUUACUGGGCGUAAAGGGUGCGUAGGUGGUCUCGUAUGUCGGAUGUGAAAUCCCACUGCUCAACGGUGGAACGGCGUCCGAAACUGCGAGGCUAGAGUGCAGGAGGGGAGAGCGGAAUUCUUGGUGUAGCGGUGAAAUGCGUUGAUAUCAAGAAGAACACCGGUGGCGAAGGCGGCUCUCUGGAAUGCAACUGACACUGAGGCACGAAAGCUGGGGGAGCAAAC